AGUGGCGAACGGGUGAGGAACACGUAAGAAUCUGCCCCUCGGUCGGGGACAACUCUUGGAAACGAGAGCUAAUACCCGAUACGCUGUGGAGUGAAAGAAUUUCGCCGAGGGAUGAUCUUGCGUCUGGUUAGCUAGUUGGUACGGUAAUGGCGUACCAAGGCGACGAUCAGUAGCUGGUCUGAGAGGAUGGACAGCCACAUUGGAACUGAGACACGGUCCAAACUCCUACGGGAGGCAGCAGUGGGGAAUUUUCCGCAAUGGACGAAAGUCUGACGGAGCGACGCUGCGUGAAGGAUGACGGCCCGCGGGUUGUAAACUUCUUUUCUCGAAGAAGAAGCUCUGUCGGUAUUCGAGGAAUAAGCAUCGGCUAACUCCGUGCCAGCAGCCGCGGUAAGACGGAGGAUGCAAGUGUUAUUCGGAAUGAUUGGGCGUAAAGAGUCUGUAGGCUGUAUAGAAAGUCUUUUGUUAAAUGCCUCGGCUCAGCCGAGAUCAAGCAAAGGAAACUUCUAUACUUGAGGGAAGUAGAGGUACAGGGAAUUCCCGGUGGAGCGGUGAAAUGCGUAGAUAUCGGGAGGAACACCAAUAUGGCGAAGGCACUGUACUGGGCUUUUCCUGACGCUGAGAGACGAAAGCUAAAGGAGUGAUUAGGAUUAGAUACCCUAGUAAUUUUAGCCGUAAACGAUGGAAACUUACUGCCGAGCGAAAUACAACGAGCGGUGGUCAAGCUAACGCGUGAAGUUUCCCGCCUGGGGAUUAC
rnacentral:rRNA from 1 species